CCUGCCCUCCCCUUUGGCGAGCUUUCCCCUCCCCCCUGCAGCUCGGCGCAGCGCCCUCCUACAGCGCUCCGUGAGGAGACGGGGCCGGGAGGGGGAGAGACCCGCGGCGGCGGCGGGGAAGCCGGGAGAGACCCGGAGGGAAGAAAGGACGGGGCAGACGCGCAGGCGGGAGGAGGACUGAUCUCAGGCGCGGUUCUGCGGAGGAAGAGCGGGAGCCGCCUGUUAUAAAGGGGGAGGAGGCGGAGGGGGAAGGAAGAGCGUGCGGAGCGGAGCCUUCUCCAGAGACAGCCAGACACAGAGGGAGGAGAGAGAGGCUGCCUGGCUGGCUCCCCCUCUCUUCCUCCUUUCAUGGACUCUCUCGUUGGGCUGCUGCUGCUUUUCUUUGCUCUUUAUUCCGUCUGUUUAAUACCCAAAAUGAUUCAGCUCCAUGGCUGCCACUGACGGGGAUGUCCCUGCCCGGCUCAGCCUGCCGCUGCCGCCCUGCUGUGCGCCAGUCCUCCUGACUCAGCCGCAGACAUUAGUGCUAGGAAGAUGGCGCACCCGGCAAUGUUUCCUAGAAGGGGCAGCAGCAGUAGCAGCAGCUGCGUUACUGCUCCCACUGCACCAGGUACCGGCGUUGGGAGCGCUGCCCUCUCUGCUGAGGAUUAUCAGCCGCCUUUGCUGGUCCAGCCGCCGCCUCCGUCUCCUGCAGCAUCUUCAUCAGCGGGUCCACAGCCGACACCCCCUCCUCCACAAAGCCUGAACCUCCUCUCGCAGUCUCAGCUCCAGCCACAGCCUCUUGCACAGACUGGAGCUCAAAUGAAAAAGAAAAGUGGCUUCCAAAUUACCAGCGUGACCCCUGCUCAAAUAUCAGCCAGUAUGAGCUCCAAUAACAGCAUAGCUGAGGAUACGGAAAGCUACGAUGACCUGGAUGAGUCCCACACUGAAGACCUGUCAUCUUCAGAAAUCUUGGAUGUUUCUUUAUCCAGGGCUACUGACUUGGGAGAACCUGAGAGGAGCUCCUCUGAAGAGACUUUAAAUAACUUCCAAGAGGCAGAAACUCCUGGGGCUGUUUCUCCAAACCAGCCUCAUCUUCCUCAGCAGCAUGUUCCUCUGCCUCAUCACCCUCAGCAGAGUGUUGUGAUCAAUGGAAGUGUUCACCCUCAUCAUGUUCAUCACCACCACCAUCUUCACCACCACCAUCAUGGACACCAUCAUCCAUCGCAUCCUGGGGUGGGCAGUGCCCCGGUUUCUGGAGGACCGCCGCCCAGUCCAUCAUUUAGAAAACUAUCAACAACUGGAAGCUCUGACAAUGUUAUAUCAACUGCACCAGUUUCUGCUGCAUCAUCCACUGGUUCCCCGGCAUCUGUCGUGUCUAAUAUCCGCACUACAAGUACUCCUGGCAAUUUAGGUGUAAGUCCUGCUACUGGAACUAGUACCUUAAAUAAUAUGGGUGGUGGUAGUUCUAGCGUGGCAAGCAGCAUGCUUGGUACUAUAAAUUUAAGCAACAUCACGAGUACUGGUAAUGUGAAUGCUUUGUCUGGAACUAGCAGCAAUGUUAAUGUGAAUAUCUUGAGUGGUGUUGGCAAUGGUACGAGUGCUUCCUCUAGUGUCAUUAACAACGUUACUAAUCCAACUGCAGGAAUGGCAGCAGGAUCAAGCCAGCAGCAGCCUGCAUCUGGCACCUCAAGGUUUAGGGUUGUAAAAUUAGAUUCUAGUUCUGAACCUUUCAAAAAAGGUAGAUGGACAUGCACUGAAUUCUAUGAUAAGGAAAACACUGUUGCGGUUUCAGAAGGAGUAGCAGUAAACAAAGCAGUAGAGACGAUAAAACAAAACCCGCUUGAAGCGACUUCUGAAAGGGAGAGCACCAGUGGGAGUUCUGUUAGCAGCAAUGUAAGCACACUGAGUCACUAUACAGAAAGUGUGGGAAGCGGAGAAAUGGGAGCACCUACUGUGGUACAGCAGCAAGCGUUUCAAGGUGUGGGUCCGCAGCAGAUGGAUUUUAGCAGUGCUGCUCCUCCGGCGAUUCCAACAUCUAGUAUACCACAGAGUGUUUCUCAAUCGCAGCUUGCACAAGUCCAGCUGCAUUCUCAAGAACUAAACUAUCCACAGCAGAAGCCAGGGGUCCAACCUCCUGCACAGGCCAGUCUAACCACUGUUACUGGGGUUCAGCCAACCCCAGUUAAUAUACUAGGUGUAUCCCCAUCUCUGGGCCACCAGCAACCUGCCAUUCAAAGUAUGGCUCAACAGCAGCUACCGUAUUCUCAGCCGGCACAGCCCGUGCAGACUCUGCCAGUUGUGCAGCAGCAGCAGUUGCAGUAUGGGCAGCAGCAACAACAACAGCAGCAGCAGACGGUUCCUAUGCAGAUGGCCACAGGUCACGUUAAGCCGGUGAACCAAAACUCUGUUACGGGGGCUAUGCCAGACUACAUUCAACAUCAGCAGAUCCUUCAGACUCCAGCCCCUGCUAUGCAGCCCAGUUCUACUGGAGUAGGAGCAGGGCAACCGGUUUCUGUUGCCCAGGCACAGAGCAUGCAGCCUUCAGUACAAGCACAUCCAGCUGCUGCCCCAGCCCAGCCUGUUGCACAUGCCCCAGCGGCGAUACCAGGCGUAGGUACCAGUGGUCAAGUGCUGAAUGUUGGGCAGCAAGGAAGCGUAGCUGCUGUGGUGCAACCACCGUCUGCUGCAAACCAAAUUCCACCUCCAGUUAUGCCGUCAACGGCUGCUCCUCCAUCUUCACAAGUAGUGCAGCCUGUGCAGACAGGAAUAAUGCAGCAGGGAUUACAGGCUGGUGCUUCAGGCCUUCCUCAGCAAAUGGUCAUUGCUCAGCAAAACACCUUGUUACCUGUACAGCCGCAGGCACAAGGAGUGGAAUCUGUAGUCCAAGGGAUGACAGGCCAGCAGCUGCCUGCGGUUAGCCCUAUACCUUCUGCUAGUACUGUUCCUGCACCGAGUCAAGCUGGUUCAGCUGUGCCUCCUGGCAUACCUUCUGCUUCUGUAGGUUUGGGACAGCCCCAGAAUAUAGCGCAAGCUUCGGCCGUGCAAAAUGGGAAUUUGGCUCAAAGUGUUAGCCAGCCUUCCUUGAUAUCAACAAGUAUAGGUAUGCCGGUGGCACAGAGUGUGCCGCAGCAGAUGCCACUCAGCUCUACCCAGUUCCCUGCACAAUCUCUAGCUCCAUCAAUUGUAAGCCAAACUGAAGAUGGCAGGCGCCCUACAGAACCUUCCUUGGUGGGUUUACCUCAAGCUGCCAGCGGCGAGAGCGGUGUUGGAGCAUCGGCCGUUUCAGAUGGCGGUAGCAGCAACGUGCCAUCCUCUGCUUCCCUCUUCCCGCUGAAGGUGCUGCCGUUGACAACGCCCCUCGUAGAUGGUGAGGAUGAGAGAUACAGAAUGACAGUCAAACAUUGCACACUGGUAUGCCUGUGAAGAGGCACUGCCAAAGUUAAUUGUCUAGUGCAAAAGCUGGGAGUUCUGGCUGAUCCAAGCAGGUAGGUGUGAAGGCGCUUGCAUGGAGAGAAGAUACAGGGACAGAUCAAUAUAGUUUUACUUAAGCAAAGCCAAAUGCUGCAUUUCAAAUGGCCUUUACCUCAAUGGAUUUAUGAACACUUCUAGUAUAAAAUUUGUGGUAAUCUUAUUCCAAGUUGUAUUUCAGAGAAUGACACUAUUUUAAUUUGGUACUAAAAUACAUAUGAAUUUGAGGCACUAGUCUGAAAAGGAAAGUUAAGUCAGGAAAUCUUCAGAACACAUUUACUUAGCUAGUUAAAAGGCAGCGUGUUUUGUGUCAUGGUAGCAGUACGAGAUAGUCUAGAAUGCGUAUUUCACGUACUGUUUACACCUACUAGGUAAAAAUAAUGUAAUUCUAAUAGAAAACAUAACUGACUGCACCAAAGACUUUUUAAGCUUGAUUUUUGAAUCUGAGAGUCAGACUCUACAUUCAGAGGUAUCAUGGUGUGCUUGCACAUUGUUUGCAAGUCAUGACUCUAAAUUGGCUUCUGUCUCCACUGUCACCAGCUUGUGUUAGACAAAAAUAAGCUUUGGUUACGUCACACGCCUCUAAGUGCUGGAAAACUAACACAACUCACAAUAGCAUUUGACAUCAGCUUGUGUCUUAGCAGUAACAGUUACUACAAAACUCGGUCCAGUUUUGGCUGUGGAGGUCUUACUGCUACUGAAAAUGAGGAGAGGAUCAAGCCUGUUGGUCAGAUUGCAUGCUGAAUUUAUAAGCUCUAGAGGCAGGAAGUUCUUUUAAUGUAGGAGAUGUAAAAAUUAGUAUUUGAUAUGAAAAGUGUAACAGAAGUGCUCAAUUCUGAAAUGCAUGUUUUGAGUACUUUCUAAAGGAGAACCUCUUAAAACUGGUGACUAUAAAAAACAACUCAUUUGUUUAGCUUUUAUUUUCCAGUGUAUCCAUGUUGCCCUUUACUAACAUUUAUCUAUUCAAUACAUAUAUUUGAGUAAAUAUUGCAUUAAAAGGACAUUUUUGCUGCAUUUGAGUUCUCCAGAGAUCCCAGAUGCCAGAGGAAAGUAAUGAAGGAAAUUAUCAAAAAGGUCAAAACCUACAGAGAAAAGCCUUUAGUAGCUUCUCACCUGAAAAGUUCAGUUUGGACUUCAACCCAUCAACCCCAAAAAACCCAGUAUCACAGACAUCCAGUCCAGUCUGGCUAUUGAACAGUACUAGAAUCACAUCUCUUAACGUUGCUUACAUGUAGUAUUUCAGCUUCCAGGUUCUGCAAGUAGACUGGCUGAAAGACCCUGACAAGAGAAGUGUAGGAAUUGUGUGAAGAUUGAGAAAUCAGUAAGAAAAAUGAUGCUUUAAAAAAAAAAAAAAAUAUGUAAGAAAUCUCUGUAAGCUAAUUGCAUGUAAAUGGAAUCAAGUUAAAUCAAGCAAGCCAUGUAUUAAGAGCUAAAAAGUAAAGUACAAAGACAUUGUUAAUAUUAAGAAACUCUGGAUUUUGUAAUUUCUUCAAAUAUGUUCCAAGGUGUCCAUCAAUACUGUAACCUUUGUUGCUAUAGGUAGCUUUCUUAAGGAGGAAAAAAGUGAACAUGGCAUCAUAUGAUGUCUUAAAACCACUUAUUAUUUAUUUAUUUUUCUUUUUAAUAUCAGCUCACGUACUCUGCCCAGAAGAGCAGAAUUUCCCUAAAGCUGAAUGCAGGUCUGUCUUUAUGACAGAAAUCUAUAUUAGUGCCAGUAAAGUCUGUUAAUCUGAUUUAAAAUGUGGUUUACACUCCGCUGUGCUUGGCAUACAGAGUUGACAAGAAACAAAAAUCACGUUAAUAAAGACAUGUGAAAAUGUUCUUGCAAAGUAAACCAUUUUAAAAAUGAAAAAAUAAUUAUAACAUUGUUUAACAAAUACUCAUUUCUUUAGUUUUACAAAAUUGAUGCGUCUAUUAAUGGGGAUUAUUUUUACAAUAUAAUAUUUUCUGUAAUCAACCAAUCAUUCAAUUUUAUAUCCCUAGUGUUUUCCUGCUGUUAUAUAUGCGCCAAGAAAUACUGGCUGUGUUUCUCAAAUGUGUGUUGCUGUGACGGCUAAAUACAACUUUGGAAUUCUCUGUCAUGCUGACUUCAGAAAAGCCAUAUUUUUUUAGUACUCUUAAACUGGUGGUAGGAAGGGUCUUGCAGGGAUUGGUACCUAUGCCUGUCUCAAGCAAGUAUUGUCAUACACCUUGUCUUGAUAAUCUAGAAAAUGCUGUGGCCUUCUGUUCUUUUAGAAGGCCUUUAAAGAAAUUGAGCACAAAAUGUUUCUGGAGAAGCCAAAUGCUUUAAAACAAAUUCUAAAAUUCAGAAAGACAAGAUUCCUACCAUUCUAUUGGUUUGCAAGUUUAGCUUUUAAUGAUGGGUUGCGUGACACUUAAUCUCUUAAAAUCAACACUUUGAUCAAUUGUUUUGCUGCCUUUUCUCCAUUUUAGGACUUGAUAACAAUAUCUGAUACAGUUGUUGUAAUACUUUUGACUUCUUCGCUUCUCUCCUGUUGAGUCUCCUCCUCUUCUUCCCUGCCCUCCAAAAAAACAGAACAAUCCAAACCCAAGAAGUUUUGGAAAACUAGUAUUUUUUCAUAGUGUCAGUAACUUGGAAUUUAAACAAUCAGCCUUACAUCACUCCUGUUGAUACUUUAAUAUGCAUGUCAUGUUGGUGCUAGUUUCCAGGAGAAACAUGCUUUACUAAAAUUUGUAAUAUUUAUUUUGAAUAACAGUUCAACUGGAUGCUGGUGCAUAGAUCCUGCAGCGGGUUUGCAGCCUGCACGUAUUUGUGGAGGUGUGUACUCUGAAGGAGAGGAUGAAGAAACACCAGCAAAAUUGCCCCAGAAUGAAUUAAGUGAAAUUGCAUCAAACACAAUGAGUAGCGUACCUUCUUGCUUAACUCUUGGAUCAUACUCUACCUGGUGUCUUGGGAGCAAUGAAGAGCACUGCAGUCUUUCUGCCUCCCUAUCCUGGACGUACGGAGUCCCUGCCUCAGCCUACGGCUUCAUUCUUUUUCCAGCUGCCCACAAAAGUAAAGAACCAGUGUGAGAGUUUGAAGAAAGAAUCCGCUCAGAGGACUGAGUCUCAAGCAAAAGCUCCAGGUUGCAGACUCAGAAAGAAACUUCCUUUGGGGAAGGAUCUGCUUCCAGGAUUUGCGCGUCUCUUUUUCCUUGGGCAAGCAGGGUUGCAGGUAGGUAGGGCCCCUUUGAACUACCAUCCGCUCAGAUAUGAAGGAUGGACUUUAUGCUGUUUCUCUGUGCCUUUUUUUGUUGAUAUUAUCUUCCAUCUCUAGACUGAGAUAAGGGAAGAGUGUGAGCAGUUUAAAGAAAAAACGUGGGGGAGAGAGAGAGGAGAAAAAAAAAUAUCCUGGGCACUUGGAAAUAAUGUUUUCUAUGCUUCUGUGUAAGCUUCCUGUCCAUGGGUCAUAUUCACACUUCAGUUCUUUGAAGCACUAAUGACAUUCGUUGUUUGACCCUUUUCUAGACAGGAAACUAAGCCAAGAGCAGAAACGGGUGGCUGGGGCCAAGGUAAGGCCAGCGAUUGUAUAUGGCCCGUAGUCACACAAUUGCCAUCUCCUCCCUGUCUCUUUACACCAGUGCUAGGUGUGAAUGUGCAGUAAGAUAGAAGCUGCCAAAUGGGUCUGAAAUACGGCUUGACUCCUAGCACUGAAAAAAUUCCCCAGUUCUAAACGUGUAAAUAUGUUCUUCCUUCAGAGGGACCUGUGGCUGCUGGGUUUGUUAAGUCAUGUUUCUUUGCCCAUGUGAAGGAAAUAGACUGGGAUGCCCUGGUUAAGGGGAUGUGUUACCAACCCACAAGAUCAGCAGUCCCUCAGGCUCAGAGAAUGGGAAUCAGUAGAAUCAGCUCAGGUAAAUUCUGCCUUCCUUGCUUCACGCUGUGCAGAGCAACAGCCUCUUCCUUGCAAACAUCGGUAGCCCACAGUCAGGCCUUUCUUUCUCCAGCUAUGUCAUUGCUGACACAGGAAGUUUAUUCUAAAUUUCCUUUUGAUUUUUAGCAAAAGGAAUCACUUGAAAACUGGCAAUGAAAUUCUAAGGAGGUUUUACCAGUUCCUCUUUUGUGCUGAGUUGAAGUCAUUUGGAACUAUGUUACAUGCAUUAUUACUUUGGUGCAUCUUGUUGACUCUUCUCUCCCUCUUCAUUCCCUCCCAAAUUGCUUCAGGACACCUUCUAACCUUUAUACUGCAUCACAAGCCUUCAACAGAAGAUCUUGAGAGCCAUUUAUGUUGCUGGAAGAUGACUGGGUUUGGAUCUUGGCCUUCCUCUUAAGCAGGAUCUCCUGACAAAAAUGGGAUUGGGAAAGAAACGACUCCUCUUUCCAUCACACAAAGCCACCCUAGAAAUGGAGGCCUAGGCAGAAAAUUACUUCUGAUGCAUAAUUCUUUAGGAAGUUUGGCCUCUCAUGGUCUUUUUGUUACAAUGUCAUAAAGAUGUCUUUUUAUAAAACCUAAACCUGGCAUCUUCCUAUCUGAAGAUCAAGUCAUUAAAUCCAAGUUUAAGAGUUUACAGGUCUAAUAAUGUGAUUAGAUCUUGCUGUCCCCUUCAUAGGAGAUGCCAUGUGAAUCUGUGAAACAGGGUUCUGUGGUUCAGACUGUUAUAUUUGUAAAGCCUUUUCUGCUUACAGUCCAGUUAAAUUAUUAGAAAUAAUAUUAAUAAACUUCUUGUGAAAAUGGUAUUAGGCUUCUACCUCUCCAGGUUUUCGUAAAAACAAAUUUCAUCCAAAAAUGUCACAAUGGCAGUAUGGGAAGUACUGCAUUUUUUGAGGUUUCCUAUGGUUUUGUGUUGAGAAAAGGUACAUUGGAAAUGUUGAGAGCUAUGGAAGUGGAAAAACUUAGGCUUUUCUUUAAGAGUGAGAAGUUAUUUGUUAGAAAGCAGAAAGCUUUAAUUGUUUUCCCCUGAGGGAUUCUAUAGUCAAACGUAAUUAAAUGUCUUGCGAGAUCUCAAAUAAAAACCUUGUGUUUGGCAGUAGUGAGCAACACACGCGCAUGCCCUUGUACUUUCGUUCUUUUUGCUAUAGGAGAUUAGUUUGGAAGAAUAGGACUUAGUUUUAAUGUUCAGAUUAGGGAAGGGGAAAGCUUUGUUAUGAAGCUGUGUGAGAGAAGGGAUGGUAGGAGGGUGAACUGGACCCUCUGGCAGUAGGUAAAGAGCACUUUUAUUUUCCUGUUUUCUGCUUCUGGCAGUUGGAGUAAACUAGUCAGAUGCUUGUGCUUGAAUCCAAUUAAUCAGUUACCAUGAAACUUUUUAUAAACAAAUGCCUGGAUCUUUCAUUAAAUUAACCAGUGCAUUUAAAUCAUUGAACAAUCUUAACGUAGCCCUGAGGCUACUGCUUCAUGGCAGUUGCAACCUCUUACUAUGCCGGAAUGCAUUGCAGUCUUGGUACAUUCUAAAAACAAUUACUGAAAUGGUGCUAUUUAAGUGUACUUACAUAGUGAGCCAUUUUCACUGGACUUCCUGAAAUUUGGGUCUGUUGAAUGGCUUUUUAAUAUACUUCUUUUGCUGUGAAUAUCAGACUUAUUUGUCUUGCUGUUUCUGUGGUUAUUGAGUAAAAUGCUAAAUUUAUAAACUGGUAUUUUUAGAAAACUUGAUAGUCAGAUGUAUGUGUUAAACUAUGCAACCACAGUAACACUUGUGAACUUUGAAGUUUAAAGAGAAAUCAGUUUAAUGUGUCAAAUUCAAGACUUAUUUUUAAUAUGUGGAAAUAUGUAUGUGAUGACCGUAAGAUUGAGUGGUGGUUGUAGGUACAAACCUUGUGUGCUGAACAGGAGCGAUCUAGAAGUUAUAAGCUGAAGACGUGCAAGUCUCAGAAAUAAAUACUAACAUCUGUGCCAGCAGUACUUUUAGCUGAAAACACCGAUUUUUCUAACUUCUGGUCCAUUUAAGGUUUUAUAUGUUUUGUGCCUUACUUAAUAGGUAUACUUGCCACAGUUUUUGGUUGUUUUGUUCUGUAGUAUAAGGCAAAUUUAAGGCCAUCACAUACUUAUGAGCACUAAAUACUUACAGUAAAAUAACAGAGGCACUGAGAACUGUUUCUAAUGUUAUUGUCUCAGUUGCUAAAAUGACUUUAUUCUCUCUCUCCUUAGUCACAAUUAGAAGGAAAAAAACCAAACAACAAACCACAGACCAAAAAAAAAAGCAAACAAAACACCAACCACACAAAAAACCUGUUGCUUUUCUGUAGUCAGUAUUUUGAUACUUACUGUCUAUCAGCAUUGUGUUAGCAUAUUACUAUCAUGCUCUGAGUUUUGCAGCUGGAAUCCUGGGUUCUUGAUACAUCUUUAGAGUAAUAACUCGUGCCUUUGUGUUAUUAAAUAAUAAAGAUGUCUAAAACCA